rnacentral:rRNA from 1 species
CGAAGGGUGCAAGCGUUACUCGGAAUUACUGGGCGUAAAGCGUGCGUAGGUGGUUCGUUAAGUCUGAUGUGAAAGCCCCGGGCUCAACCUGGGAACUGCAUUGGAUACUGGCGAUCUGGAGUGCGGUAGAGGGUGGCGGAAUUCCCGGUGUAGCAGUGAAAUGCGUAGAUAUCGGGAGGAACAUCCGUGGCGAAGGCGGCCACCUGGACCAGCACUGACACUGAGGCACGAAAGCGUGGGGAGCAAACAGGAUUAGAUACCCUGGUAGUCCACGCCCUAAACGAUGCGAACUGGAUGUUGGGUGCAACUUGGCACUCAGUAUCGAAGCCAACGCGUUAAGUUCGCCGCCUGGGAAGUACGGUCGCAAGACUG